AUUGAACGCUGGCGGCAUGCCUUACACAUGCAAGUCGAACGGCAGCACGGGGGCAACCCUGGUGGCGAGUGGCGAACGGGUGAGUAAUGCAUCGGAAUGUACCCAGUAGUGGGGGAUAACUAGUCGAAAGACUAGCUAAUACCGCAUACGCACUACGGUGGAAAGCGGGGGAUCGCAAGACCUCUCGCUAUUGGAGCAGCCGAUGUCCGAUUAGGUAGUGGGUGGGGUAAUGGCCUACCAAGCCCGCGAUCGGUAACUGGUCUGAGAGGACGACCAGUCACACUGGGACUGAGACAAGGCCCAGACUCCUACGGGAGGCAGCAGUGGGGAAUUUUGGACAAUGGGCACAAGCCUGAUCCAGCAAUGCCGCGUGUGUGAAGAAGGCCUUCGGGUUGUAAAGCACUUUUGGCAGGAAAGAAAUAGUGCGUGCUAAUACCAUGCGCGAAUGACGGUACCUGCAGAAUAAGCACCGGCUAACUACGUGCCAGCCGCCGCCGUAAGAC
rnacentral:rRNA from 1 species